rnacentral:rRNA from 1 species
CCUACGGGUGGCAGCAGUGAGGAAUAUUGGUCAAUGGGCGAGAGCCUGAACCAGCCAAGUCGCGUGAGAGAGUACUGCCCUAUGGGUUGUAAACCUCUUUUGUCGGGGAGCAAAAGCCGGACGUGUCCGGCUGUGAGAGUACCCGAAGAAAAAGCAUCGGCUAACUCCGUGCCAGCAGCCGCGGUAAUACGGGGGAUGCGAGCGUUAUCCGGAUUUAUUGGGUUUAAAGGGUGCGCAGGCGGAUUUUUAAGUCAGCGGUAAAAUCGUGGGGCUCAACCCCAUCCAGCCGUUGAAACUGGGGAUCUAGAGUGUGCGAGAGGUAUGCGGAAUGCGUGGUGUAGCGGUGAAAUGCAUAGAUAUCACGCAGAACCCCGAUUGCGAAGGCAGCAUACCGGUGCACAACUGACGCUCAGGCACGAAAGCGUGGGUAUCGAACAGGAUUAGAUACCCUUGUAGUC